rnacentral:rRNA from 1 species
GACGAACGCUGGCGGCGUGCCUAAUACAUGCAAGUAGAACGCACAGUUUAUACCGUAGCUUGCUACACCAUAGACUGUGAGUUGCGAACGGGUGAGUAACGCGUAGGUAACCUGCCUGGUAGCGGGGGAUAACUAUUGGAAACGAUAGCUAAUACCGCAUAAUAUUAAUUAUUGCAUGAUAAUUAAUUGAACGGUGCAAUUGCACCACUACCAGAUGGACCUGCGUUGUAUUAGCUAGUAGGUGAGGUAACGGCUCACCUAGGCGACGAUACAUAGCCGACCUGAGAAGGUGAUCGGCCAAACUGGGACUGAGACACGGCCCAGAAUCCUACGGGAGGGAGCAGGAGGGAAUCUUCGGCAAUGGACGAAAGUCUGACCGAGCAACGCCGCGUGAGUGAAGAAGGUUUUCGGAUCGUAAAGCUCUGUUGUAAGAGAAGAACGGGUGUGAGAGUGGAAAGUUCACACUGUGACGGUAUCUUACCAGAAAGGGACGGCUAACUACGUG